CGCAAGCCUGAUCUAGCCAUGCCCGUGUGUGAUGAAGGUCUUAGGAUCGUAAAGCACUUUCGCCAGGGAUGAUAAUGACAGUACCUGGUAAAGAAACCCCGGCUAACUCCGUGCCAGCAGCCGCGGUAAUACGGAGGGGGUUAGCGUUGUUCGGAAUUACUGGSCGUAAAGCGUACGUAGGCGGAUUGGAAAGUUGGGGGUGAAAUCCCAGGGCUCAACCCUGGAACUGCCUCCAAAACUAUCAGUCUAGAGUUCGAGAGAGGUGAGUGGAAUUSCAAGUGUAGAGGUGAAAUUCGUAGAUAUUUGGAGGAACACCAGUGGCGAAGACGGCUCACUGGCUCGAUACUGACGCUGAGGUACGAAAGUGUGGGGAGCAMACAGGAUUAGAUACCCUGGUAGUCCACACCGUAAACGAUGAAUGCCAGUCGUCGGGCAGUAUACUGUUCGGWGACACACCUAACGGAUUAAGCAUUCCGGCUGGGG
rnacentral:rRNA from 1 species